rnacentral:rRNA from 1 species
GACGACGCUGGCGGCGUGGAUUAGGCAUGCAAGUCGAACGGUAUCAUCCUUUCGGGGGUGAGAGAGUGGCGAACUGGUGAGUAACACGUAGGUUAUCUACCCUCAAGACGGGGACAACCCAGGGGAAACUUGGGCUAAUACCGGAUGUGAGCAACUUUUAGUUGUUUGAAAGGUGGCGUAAGCUGUCGCUUGGGGAUGAGCCUGCGUCCUAUUAGUUAGUUGGUGAGGUAACGGCUCACCUAGGCAAUGAUAGGUAGGCGGCCUUAACGGGUGGUCGCCCACACUGGGAUUGAGAUACGGCCCAGACUCCUACGGGAGGCAGCAGUCGAGAAUAGUCUACAAUGGUCGGAAGACUGAUAGUGCGACGCCGCGUGAACGAUGAAUCCCUUCGGGGUGUAAACUCAUGAAGCUAACGAAUAAGACGGAAGGGGAACCUUCCGGGAGAAGGUAAUUAGUGAAAAGUCCCGGCUAACUACGUG